GCUGGUGUGGUGAAAUCGGCAGACACAAGGGACUUAAAAUCCCUCGGGGGCAACUCCGUACCGGUUCAAGUCCGGUCACCAGCA
rnacentral:tRNA from 1 species